AUUGAACGCUGGCGGCAGGCCUAACACAUGCAAGUCGAGCGAGCGGCGGACGGGUGAGUAAUGAAUGGGGCUCUGCCUGAGAGAGGGGGAUAACUACUGGGAACGGUGGCUACUACCGCAUAGUAUCGGCUGAACCCAUAUGGGAUUAGCUUGUGGGUGGGGCAAAGGCAAACCACGGCGACGAUCUCUAGCUGGUCUGAGAGGAUGAACAGCCACACUGGAACGGAGACACGGCCCAGACUCCGACGGGAGGCAGCAGUGGGGAAUAUUGCACAAUGGGCGAAAGCCUGAUCCAGCCAUGCCGCGUGUAUGAAGAAGGCCUUAGGAUUGUAAAGUACUUUCAGUGGGGAGGCGUUACCCGCAGAAGAAGCACCGGCUAACUCCGUGCCAGCAGCCGCGGUAAUUC
rnacentral:rRNA from 1 species